rnacentral:rRNA from 1 species
AUUGAACGCUGGCGGCAGGCCUAACACAUGCAAGUCGAGCGCGAAAGUUCUUCGGAAUGAGUAAAGCGGCGGACGGGUGAGUAAUACAUGGGAAUCUGCCUGGUAGUGGGGGACAACGUUUCGAAAGGAACGCUAAUACCGCAUACGCCCUACGGGGGAAAGGGGGGGAUCUUCGGACCCUCGCUAUCAGAUGAGCCCAU